rnacentral:lncRNA from 1 species
UGUAGAAGUUAAUUAAGGUGCGAGACUGUGAGAGUCAUAAGCCGAGGGCCAUUGCUGUGAUAGUGUGAGCCGGGGUAAGCUUGGUGCUACCUCUUUUCUUUUGUUUGUUAUUUUCUUUGAAUAAGAGGAUUGAAAGUUUCUGAAUAUUGUGAAGUGAAUUAUGGAAUGGAAAUGUGAUUGGUAUUAUUUGAGAAGAAGAAAGAUUGAAUGCUGAAAUUUGAUUGUAGUUCAGCAGAGAGAAUGAGUCUGUGUUUGUGUGAAACACUGUAAUGUGAAUGGUAGUUCUGUGUGAAGAAUUCCAGUGAUUGGAAUGAGGGUAAUUGUGUGCUGAAAGCUAAGAGGGCACAGUAUUACAGUUGGAGAUUAUGAGGGUGAAUAUAUUGGUAGAAAUAGUAGUUAUUGGUAUGACUGAAUUGCUGUAAGGAAGACACCGAUAAGGUGAAGGAGGAGAUUAUAGUUUCCUUGUAUGUUCAGAUAUUGGAAAUAGAGACGAUACAUUUAGGAGGCAAUUGAUUGUGUGACCCUAACAUGAAUGCUUAAGCAACUAGUCAUUUUCCAUAUUCAAAUCUCCCUAUUUGGAUUUAUUCUAGGAAGUUUCUUCCGGAAUAAGUA